rnacentral:rRNA from 1 species
CCUACGGGUGGCAGCAGUCGAGAAUCAUUCACAAUGGGGGAAACCCUGAUGGUGCGACGCCGCGUGGGGGAAUGAAGGUCUUCGGAUUGUAAACCCCUGUCAUGUGGGAGCAAAUUAAAAAGAUAGUACCACACGAGGAAGAGACGGCUAACUCUGUGCCAGCAGCCGCGGUAAUACAGAGGUCUCAAGCGUUGUUCGGAAUCACUGGGCGUAAAGCGUGCGUAGGCUGUUUCGUAAGUCGUGGGUGAAAGGCGCGGGCUCAACCCGCGGACGGCACAUGAUACUGCGAGACUAGAGUAAUGGAGGGGGAACCGGAAUUCUCGGUGUAGCAGUGAAAUGCGUAGAUAUCGAGAGGAACACUCGUGGCGAAGGCGGGUUCCUGGACAUUAACUGACGCUGAGGCACGAAGGCCAGGGGAGCGAAAGGGAUUAGAUACCCUGGUAGUC